rnacentral:lncRNA from 1 species
ACUUCUCCCCAGAGGAAGGCAAGGAUGUGGAGGGUGAAAGCGGGCUCGCAGACACGAAUAUGACCAACGUGAUGCAGUGUGACUCUCAGGAUUAUGUAGUUAUAUAAGACUUGGUCUGUUUGAAAGAUUUGAAGAAGCCAGCUACCCUGAGGUCUACAUCUUUCCACAGCCUUGGUGUUGGAACCUAAUCCUCAACGUGGUGGUAGGUUUACCACCUGAAGCAGAGAACAGCCCUCACCAGAUACUGAACCAGCUGGUGCCUUAACAUUGGACUUCCAGCCUCCAGAACUGUGAGAUAUGUGCAGGGUUUGAAUGACCCAAGCCUGCAGAGUCAACUCUACUGCCCGUCCACACUUGUCUGCUGCUGUUCCUCACCUCUCCAGUGAGCGUGGAGUUCCAUGGUCUCAGGUGACAGCCAUCACACCCACUCUGAAUUUCCUGACAGGCAUAAUAGAAUUGAAGACACAGUGGAUAACGACAGAGCCUCGUGUACUGCUAACAGGGCUGGAGGCUGGGUAUCACCACAGCUGACCUCCUCUCCAUGGCUCUUGCUGCUGCUAAUCCUCCAAGAUGAAUCUGAAAGAGAAAACAACUGCUUAGUUGCUACAAAUCAUAGGAAGACUCUGGUGAGAAAAUCUCCAUAAAAGACUUCGGAAAAGAUAUGUGUCUUAAGGCAGAACUUGAGGAAAAGCAGGAGACUUGGCACAGAAGCCGCAGAAGGCUUUUUCCAUGUGUAGGAACUUGCAAGGAUGGCAGGAGGCUACAGAGAGCAGACUUGAAACCCUGUGAAAAGAAGAAAUAAGCAAAGCAAGAGGAUAAGCCCUGGGAGAACAGCGUGCUUCCCAGUGUCUGCCUCGUCCUGCACAGUAAGAGCCAGGUCAACUUCAGGAAAUAAGCAAGGCCUCUAAAAGGAAGCACGACCAGAAAAUACAGCACAACUAGGAGCAUAUGGAAGGGAUCCAAGAAGUGGAGACCAUCAUUCGGUAAUAGAAUCUGCUUUGGAGAUGAGAGAGCCUAGAAGGAUGCCCAAUGCCCAGAUGGCAACAGCGCCCUCACAUGCUAUGUACAAU